UUGACCUCGGAUCAGGUAGGGAUACCCGCUGAACUUAAGCAUAUCAAUAAGCGGAGGAAAAGAAACCAACAGGGAUUGCCUCAGUAACGGCGAGUGAAGCGGCAUAAGCUCAAAUUUGAAAUCUGGCUCUUUCAGGGUCCGAGUUGUAAUUUGUAGAAGAUGUUUCGGGUGUGGCUCCGGUCUAAGUUCCUUGGAACAGGACGUCAUAGAGGGUGAGAAUCCCGUAUGUGACUGGAUGCUUUCGCCCAUGUGAAACUCUUUCGACGAGUCGAGUUGUUUGGGAAUGCAGCUCAAAAUGGGUGGUAUAUUUCAUCUAAAGCUAAAUAUUGGCCAGAGACCGAUAGCGCACAAGUAGAGUGAUCGAAAGAUGAAAAGCACUUUGGAAAGAGAGUUAAACAGUACGUGAAAUUGUUGAAAGGGAAGCGCUUGCAAUCAGACUUGCGCCUAGUUGAUCAUCCGGACUUCUGUCCGGUGCACUCGAUUAGGCUCAGGCCAGCAUCGGUUUGGGUGGUUGGAUAAAGGCCUAGGGAAUGUAGCCUCCUUCGGGUGGUGUUAUAGCCCUAGGUGCAAUGCAGCCUACCUGGACCGAGGACCGCGCUUCGGCUAGGAUGCUGGCGUAAUGGUUGUAA
rnacentral:rRNA from 1 species